rnacentral:sRNA from 2 species
ACCUACCACUACUAAUCUAUCACUGCUAAUCUAUCACUGCUAAUCUAUCACUGCCAAUCUACCUACCGCUGCCAACCUAUCUAUCGCUGCUAAUCUAUCACUGCUAAUCUAUCGCUGCCAAUCUACCUACUGCUGCCAACCUACCUACCGCUGCCAACCUACCUACCACUGCCAACCUACCUACCGCUGCCAACCUAUCUAUCGCUGCUAAUCUAUCGCUGCUAAUCUACCGCUGCCAACCUACCUACCGCUGCCAACCUAUCUAUCGCUGCUAAUCUAUCGCUGCUAAUCUAUCGCUGCUAAUCUAUCGCUGCUAAUCUAUCGCUGCUAAUCUAUCGCUGCUAAUCUAUCGCUGCUAAUCUAUCGCCGCCAACCUACCUACCGCUGCCAACCUAUCUAUCACUGCUAAUCUAUCGCUGCUAAUCUAUCGCUGCUAAUCUAUCGCUGCUAAUCUAUCGCUGCUAAUCUAUCGCUGCUAAUCUAUCACUGCUAAUCUAUCGCCGCCAACCUAUCUACCGCUGCCAACCUACCCACUGCUGCCAACCUAUCUAUCACUGCCAAUCUAUAUAGGGUAAAUCAUGGUCCCAUUUGGUCCCAUUUUGUAAAAUGGAAUCAAAUGAAAUCAGAAUCACUAAUUUAUUAGUAAAACAUGAUCUGAGACUAGAUUUAUAAUAUAAACAGUGUAAAGUGACUAAUUUACUAAACACUAUAUGGGAUCAGAACUAAGAUAUCUAAUAAUGAAACUGAGGAAAAAUUUGAUCUCAGUUUCAUAUAUAGUCAUACAGCCAGUCUAGCUGUAACUAUUGCUAGUUAUUCUAGAUAUUUCUUUUGAUAUUAUAUCUUAAUCUGUGAUAGUAGCACUACUGUGAUGGGUUAGCAUCUGUUGGCAGUUAACUUAUACAAUCAACCCUCUACUGCA